rnacentral:rRNA from 1 species
UACGUAAGGUCCGAGCGUUGUCCGGAAUUAUUGGGCGUAAAGAGCUCGUAGGCGGUUUGUCGCGUCUGCUGUGAAAACUGGGGGCUCAACCCCCAGCCUGCAGUGGGUACGGGCAGACUAGAGUGCGGUGGGGGAGAUUGGAAUUCCUGGUGUAGCGGUGGAAUGCGCAGAUAUCAGGAGGAACACCAAUGGCGAAGGCAGAUCUCUGGGCCGUAACUGACGCUGAGGAGCGAAAGCAUGGGGAGCGAACAGG